rnacentral:rRNA from 1 species
AACGUAGGAGACAAACGUUAUCCGGAGUUACUGGGCGUAAAGGGCGUGUAGGUGGUUUCGUAAGUCUGGCGUGAAAUUUCUCGGCUUAACCGAGGCAGGUCGUCGGAUACUGCGGAACUUGAGGACGGUAGAGGCGUGUGGAAUUCCGGGUGUAGUGGUGAAAUGCGUAGAGAUCCGGAGGAACACCAGUGGCGAAGGCGACACGCUGGGCCGUACCUGACACUGAUGCGCGACAGCAUGGGAAGCAAACAGG